rnacentral:rRNA from 1 species
AUAUCAGUCAUGCAUAGCAUAUCAAUAAGCGGAGGAAAAGAAACUAACAAGGAUUCCCUUAGUAACGGCGAGUGAAGCGGGAAGAGCUCAAAUUUGAAAUCUUCAAGGUUUUACCUUGACGAAUUGUAGUUUAAAGAAGUGUUUUCUGUUGAAGUUUUGGUAAAAGUUCUUUGGAAUAGGACAUCAUAGAGGGUGAGAAUCCCGUAUUUGACCAUUACUUUCAGCUUUGUGAUACACUUUCAAAGAGUCGGAUUGUUUGGGAAUGCAGUCCAAAAUGGGUGGUAAAUUUCAUCUAAAGCUAAAUAUUGGCGAGAGACCGAUAGCGAACAAGUACCGUGAGGGAAAGAUGAAAAGAACUUUGAAAAGAGAGUUAAACAGUACGUGAAAUUGUCAAAAGGGAAGCGUUUGACACCAGUGUUGUUUUCUCGAAAAUCAAUUAAAAAGAGUUGGAUUUUGUGUUGUAUUGACUUUAUCAGGCUUUCUUCACUCUUUUCCAGCUUUUUUUAAUGCACUUUUCGUUUAACAAGUCAACAUCAGUUUCUUUUGUUGUAAAAAGGUCAUUGGAAGGUGGCUUUCUCUUCGGAGAAAGUGUUUAUAGCCUUUGACUCAUGCAAUCGGAGAGACUGAGGUCUGCAGCGUAGAUCCUUCGGGGUUAGAUACAUUUGUGCUAAGUUAUAGCUUUUCAUAGACAACUUGUUGACUAUGUUUAGUCUUGUAGCUUACUCGCUUAUGCUAUUUUACCUACGCUUAGGAUGUUGAAACUCUAUCACACACAG